rnacentral:rRNA from 1 species
GAGCGGUAGCACAGGGACGCUUGCUCCUGGGUGACGAGCGGCGGACGGGUGAGUAAUGUCUGGGAAACUGCCUGAUGGAGGGGGAUAACUACUGGAAACGGUAGCUAAUACCGCAUAACGUCGCAAGACCAAAGAGGGGGACCUUCGGGCCUCUUGCCAUCAGAUGUGCCCAGAUGGGAUUAGCUAGUAGGUGGGGUAACGGCUCACCUAGGCGACGAUCCCUAGCUGGUCUGAGAGGAUGACCAGCCACACUGGAACUGAGACACGGUCCAGACUCCUACGGGAGGCAGCAGUGGGGAAUAUUGCACAAUGGGCGCAAGCCUGAUGCAGCCAUGCCGCGUGUAUGAAGAAGGCCUUCGGGUUGUAAAGUACUUUCAGCGGGGAGGAAGGCGAUAAGGUUAAUAACCUUGUCGAUUGACGUUACCCGCAGAAGAAGCACCGGCUAACUCCGUG